GGAUAUAUUUCAGUUGGUAGAGUGCUUGCGUCGCAUGCACAAGGCCCUGGGUUCAAUACCCAGUACCA
rnacentral:tRNA from 1 species